rnacentral:rRNA from 1 species
CGCUAGCGACAGGCCUAACACAUGCAAGUCGAGGGGCAGCACGAGGUAGCAAUACUUGGGUGGCGACCGGCGGACGGGUGAGUAACACGUAUGCAACCUGCCCGUAAUCGGGGGAUAACCCGGAGAAAUUCGGACUAACACUCCAUGCACCUGAAAUGUCACAUGACGAAUCAGGUAAACGCAAGGAUUACGGAUGGGCAUGCGGAUGAUUAGCUAGUUGGAGGGGUAACGGCCCGCCAAGGCGACGAUCAUUAGGGGUUCUGAGAGGAAGGUCCCCCACAUUGGAACUGAGAAACGGUCCAAA